UACAGAGGUCUCAAGCGUUGUUCGGAUUCAUUGGGCGUAAAGGGGUGCGUAGGCGGCGCGGUAAGUCGGGUGUGAAAUCUUGGAGCUUAACUCCGAAACUGCAUUCGAUACUGCCGUGCUUGAGGACUGGAGAGGAGACUGGAAUUUACGGUGUAGCGGUGAAAUGCGUAGAUAUCGUAAGGAAGACCAGUGGCGAAGGCGGGUCUCGUGGACAGUUCCUGACGCUGAGGCAACGAAGGCCAGGGGAGCGAAACGGG
rnacentral:rRNA from 1 species